CCGGCGUGGAGGAGUGAAGGUCUUCGGAUUGUAAACUCCUGUCAGUCUGGGAGUAAGACCUGACGGUGAAUAGCCGGCAGGGUUGAUAGUACCAGAAGAGGAAGGGACGGCUAACUUCGUGCCAGCAGCCGCGGUAAUACGAAGGUCCCAAGCGUUGUUCGGAAUCACUGGGCGUAAAGGGAGCGUAGGCGGCGUGGUAAGUCAGAUGUGAAAUCCCGGGGCUCAACCCCGGAACUGCAUCCGAUACUGCCAUGCUUGAGGGUUGGAGAGGUAGCUGGAAUUCUCGGUGUAGCAGUGAAAUGCGUGGAUAUCGAGAGGAACACUCGUGGCGAAGGCGAGCUACUGGACAACAUCUGACGCUGAGGCUCGAAGGCCAGGGGAGCAAAAGGGAUUAGAUACCCCUGUAGUCCUGGCAGUAAACGGUGUGCGCUUGGUGUGAGGGGAUUCGACCCCCCUUGUGCCGGAGCUAACGCGUUAAGCGCACCGCCUGGGAAGUACGGCCGCAAGGCUA
rnacentral:rRNA from 1 species